AAAAAAACAACGCCAUCUUGUGUUUACUUUAAAAUCGACAAAAAUAUUUCACCUGGCUAAUUACAUCAGGAGAAUCAAGGUCGCAUAUAUCUUGAUUUACUCCUCCCUAGCGUUAAAAAUAAAAAAAAACCAACCCCAUGAAAAUCCUAUGGCUGGGGAACCUGAAAAAAUAAUACCGGUCUAUAAAAAACGUUUAAAUGAUAUAGCACAUUGUAAUUGAGGUACCGUAACGAAAAUUGAUUACUAUUUGAAAUAGAUUUUCGGAUACAAGUUCAUUAAUUAUUCUUGCCUUUAUACAAUCAGCCGCCAUUUCCAACUUUGUAGGGAAAAUCAAAGAUAGGAUCUAUGCCAAGUUCCGUCUUGAAGGUAUACGUCCCCAGCUGUUGGGAAAUGGAAGGAGCCAUAAAUCGCGAGUCUUCAACUGAGUGACAAUAUUAUUUUUAUUUUCUAUUAUUUCUAUAAUAGUCAUUACGAUCAGUGCCUUCAGUGUUUUCUCCUCCAAAACCUCCUAGAAGUAGAACCUGUGGUUUCCUUGUGACUUCUUGAGUUAUAUUUUCCUUAACAGUUAAACGGACUAUUGGUGUUUCGCAUCUGGUUAAAUUCAAAAUUUAUCUAAAAAAUAAAAUAUACUGAAUUCACGGUAUUUCUUCCCAUAUAUAUCUUCCGCCUUUCUUAUUGUAACAAGAGAUGGAUACGUUCUUUCAAGCAAUUUCAGAGUUUCCCAUGCCUCACUAUAAUUUAUGUCUUCAUACACUUUAUAAUCUGAGUUAUUCAUUGCAU